rnacentral:lncRNA from 12 species
CUGCCAGGCAAAGUGCUUCACUCUCCACAUGUGCUCCCAAGGUGAGAGCUUAGGCUGGAUCCAUCUCCAGCACAGGUGGAUGAGAACUUCCUUUUGUGAAGCACAGGCUGUCCCAGGAGCUGUCCCAGACUGUCCCAGGCUGUCCCUGUGCUGUCCCAGACUGUCCCAGAGCUGCCCCAGGCUGUUCCAGGCUGUCCCAGGCUGUCCCAGGAGCUGUCCCAGACUGUCCCAGACUGUCCCAGACUGUCCCAGACUGUCCCAGACUGUCCCAGACUGUCCCAGACUGUCCCAGACUGUCCCAGACUGUCCCAGACUGUCCCAGACUGUCCCAGACUGUCCCAGAGCUGCCCCAGGCUGUCUCAGAGCUGUCCCAGAGCUGUCCCAGACUGUCCCAGGCUGUCCCAGACUGUCCCAGAGCACCUGCACCACCAUCAUCCCGCACCACCAACAUCAUCCCAACAUCAACAUCAUCCCGCACCACCAACAUCAUCCCACACCACCAACAUCAUCCCAACCCACCAACAUCAUCCCAACAUCAACAUCAUCCCGCACCACCAACAUCAUCCCACACCACCAACAUCAUCCCAACCCACCAACAUCAUCCCAACAUCAACAUCAUCCCGCACCACCAACAUCAUCCCACACCACCAACAUCAUCCCAACCCACCAACAUCAUCCCAACAUCAACAUCAUCCCGCACCACCAACAUCAUCCCACACCACCAACAUCAUCCCAACCCACCAACAUCAUCCCAACAUCAACAUCAUCCCGCACCACCAACAUCAUCCCACACCACCAACAUCAUCCCAACCCACCAACAUCAUCCCAACAUCAACAUCAUCCCGCACCACCAACAUCAUCCCGCACCACCAACAUCAUCCCCCAUCAGCAACAUCAUCCCAACAUCAUCAACAUCAUCCCGCACCACCAACAUCAUCCCAACAUCAUCAACAUCAUCCCGCACCACCAACAUCAUCCCACACCACCAACAUCACCGCGUGUCCCCGCUCUGGUGACAAUCCCGAGCUAACCGUGCGUAACCCGGAGCUUGCUGAGCUCCCAUCCCAGCCCAGGAGAGAGA